AUUUUCCAAAAAAACUCUAUUCAAUUCAGAAAACUGUAACAGUGUCCGACCAGGACACAGCUGAAGCCCUAGAGUCUCUCCUUCGCCAAACAAACCCUAACUCCACCACAUUCACCUCCUUCAACAGCAUCGUUCACCAUUUGGAGUCCAAGCUAGGGUUAGACCUCACUUCCAAGCUCGAUUUCAUCCAGAACCAGAUCCCACCUCCUCCUCCUCCUCCUCCAAUCUCACUCUCCUCCUCCACCACCACCAACCCCCUCCAAAAAUUCACUUUCUCCUCCACCAAAACCCUAAUUUCCACCAACCCCCUCCUUUCGCCUACGCCGAGCUCGGUUUCCGACCACCGCCGCCCCCAAAGACCGAAUCCUCCGCCCCGCUUCUACUGACGCUGCCCUUACCGAAUCCCCCAAAGAGAGGUAUCUUUUGCUCAACCGCGCUUUUCGUUGGUGAGAAAAUUCAGGGAAUGAAUAGAAAAUGAAUCACUUUCCUUUUUGGUUACGUUUGCUAAACAACCAAUCGAUGUUUGGAUUUGUUUUUUCUCGAGUUGGUUAAAAUUCACUGGCAUCACGAUAUCGUAACUUGUAAGUCUGUUGUUUUGUUCCUUGAUGUUUAUUUUUCUAUGAAUUUGUAAUUUUUGAUGUAACAAUGUUUAUUGUUUGCGGUAACCCCAACGGGUUGGCUGAAACACUCUGUAAAUGGAAAUCCUAUUCCCACAUCCCCAUGGGAAUCUCUCAUUUUUGGAGUAAUAUGACUUAUUUAAGAAUAAAACAAGUAGAUGGUUCCAUAAUAUUUAAAAUUAUAGUAUAUUAUUAUUUGAAUAGAGGAUUGUUAACCAAACCAAACAUUUGAAUUGUAUUAACACAGAAAUAUUGUUAUUAAUAACAGAAUUCCUAACAAUAAGAAUUUUAUUACUUGUAUUUGAUUUUUUCCAUCCAAACAUAACUAACAAUUUGAUAAUAUUACCACUCAUUUACUCGCAUCAUACCUUCAUCCAAUUGAGUAUGGGUGUUGGCUAUUGGAUGAAACUAGGAAAAAUUAGAAACAUUAGGGAGGUGUUGCAAGUGGUAUGUGAAGUUCAUGUUUACCUUUGGCUCAUGCAUGGGUCCCAUGCAGGGCAGGCUGUCCGUGCAUGGCUCUGGUUGAUGGUGGCAUCCUUGGUGUAAGUUGUUAUUAUUACAUCAAACAUGACUACUUUGAAUUUAGAAUGGUCAAUGUUGUGCAUCACUUAAAAGAAAGUUCUGGGUAUUGUGUUUGGAGAGUACUUUUGUCUACUAAAAUGGUAUUCUGCACGGAUGUAACCCAACUUAGUCUAACUGAAUACCCCUUGGCACACUACCCACGAGAGAGGUUGGAUUAGGUGGUUGCUUUGCCAAAAAAAAAAAAAAGCAAAAGAAAAAAAGUGGUUGCGUUGCAAUAUGUUUGCAGAGUAGUUUCAUGUGAGAUGAUGUUUACGUGCUAGAGUUCUUCAUGCCAGUGAGCAACAAAGCUUGUGAAAACCACAUACCUCAUUCAGGAAAAUAUUAGAAACAAUGAGGAACAGUUUCCAAACUUUUAGGCUUGCUUCUGGAGAAAUUGAGGAAGAAUUAUGUAUUGAAGAAAUUGAUUUUCAAAAUGUUGGGAAACUUGAUUUUGUUCAAACGCCCCAAACUACUAUAUUUUUGCGUCGAUUAGGACCCUUACAAAGUGAAGGAGAGAGAAUGCAACUGGAUUCAGCUAAUCGACAAUUAAUGAAUGCCAUAAAUAAUGGAAGCAAUGUUAUUGGUACAGAACAUAACAAGACUGUGAUUACUUGUACACAAGAAAAAGGCUUACUAGGGACGUCAAAAAGAAAAGGCUACAAAACUGGAGUUAAAAUUAAAAUUCCAAUAGAGGAUAUCCUAAAAACAUCCAAAAUGAGCCUUGAGAAUGCUGCAAGAAAAACUCGAAGGUAUGCUUGCACUUUCAUAAAGUAAAAUGUAAUGUUUACUUGUGAUCUUGGUAGUUAUUUCAACUAGAUAGACUCUUUUGGUAGAGAAUAUAUAUUUGAGCAUUGUGCAGAAACAAAUAGAAAGCAAUUUCUCUUAUUUGGAUUCUUUCUUUUGCUGUGAGCAAAUCUAUGUUGGUAUCGAGAGGUGGCCACCUCGCAUGAUAAAUGAGGCUAGUUGCUCUCAGCUCAAUGAAUCUGCCCUGUAUGUUGAUCAGGAACAAAUCCUACAAUUGAAUUCUGAUCAUCCACCUUUGUACAUUUGAAUUCUGAUCAUCUGCCAUCUACUCAAGCCUUGGCCACUAUCGAGCCACAUGAUACAAUGAUGCAAGAUGUGAAAGAUGUGACUGUAAAAGCAAAUAUGGAGAUAUUACAAUGAGGUUUUAUUUGUCUUUGUCAUCGAUUUUCAUACAGUUGUAGGAAGAAGUGGCUAAGAGGUGAAACCUAAUGGCUAGGACUUGUGAUGUUGUGUAUAUAUAUGAGCAAGGUGAAUAGGUUUUAAUGAGUAUUGAUGGUGACUUACAGGAUUAUAUGCAACGAUCUAGAUUGCUAGGCCAAACUUCUAUUAUGGUAUUUAUUUUGCCAAAGUUGCCAAGUGCACCCACUAAAGAGUUUGAUUGGGUGCAAGUGUCAAAUUUGGAUCAAGCAAAUACCACAAUAGAAGUUCUGCCUAGCAAAACUCACAUACAAUCUUGUAAGUCCCUGCUGAGCAACUUGAAUCUUGUUAAAUAAGCACUUUCUCUUAUACUGCCUUAGCUUUAACUAGUGAAAUUUUACAUUUUGUGUAGUUAUGGUGGUAUUUAUUUUAUUCAGUUGCAAACUUACUAGGAGAUAUGCAUGUAUCCCAUUCGUUAUCACAUUAACUACCUUUUAUUUUUUCUCUUUCAAUAAUUUGAUGGUAGUAUUUCCCAAUGGCAAUCCCUGGAUUUCUUAUUUGUAACUACUAUUUCUUCUACAAAAUAUAUGAAGAAUUUGAGGUUAGUCUCCCAUUUCACUCACAAAAUGGCAUUUUCAAUGUCUUGUUAGUAUUGAUUACUCAUUACACUCUCUCUCUUAGAACAUCUACAGUGGUGUGUUUGUUUGUGUAACACGUUGGUGGGGGUUUGCCUGUUCAAAGAGAAAAAUAAUGCUUUAACGGAAGUGUUAAAACACUGUUAAAUUUGUUAGUUGUUAAUGUGUUUGCUCGUGUGUUAACCCCUCUCAGCAUAGUUAACAAACACAUUAACAAUUGACAAAUUUAACUACCAACAGUUGUUGGCUAUAAUGAAACCAAUGAAAACCCACAUACCUCAUUGAUGAAAAUAUUGUAAACAAUGAGGAAAGAUUUUCAUACUCUUACGCUGUGUUUGGUUGGGGGAUUUGGGGAGAGAUUUGGAAAAUGAAAGGAAAAGGUGUGUGAAAUUAGGUAAAAUAUAAGUAUAUUUUAUUUACAUUUUACUCUUUUUUUCCGUUUCCCGUUCCUAAUCCCUUAACCAAACACAACAUUAGGGUUGCCUCUGGAAAAGAACAUGGGGAAGAAUUACAUAUUGAAGAAAUUGGUAUUCAAAAUGGUGAGAAACUUGAUCGUGUUCAAAUGCCUCAAAACUACUAUAUCCUUGCCUCGGUCAGAACCCUUACGAAGUGAAGUUGAGGUAAUGCAAGAGGAUUCAUCAAAUCAACAAUCAGUGAAUGGCAUAAAUACUGGAAGUAAUGUUGGUGGUAAAUACUGGAAGUAAUGUUGGUGGUACAGAAGGUAACAACAUUUCUAUUACUUGUACGCAAGAGAAAAGCAUAGUAAAGGCAUCAAAAAGAAAAGGCAACAAAUUUGGAGGCACAAUAAAAGCGUCAAAAAGAAAAGGCAACAAAUCUGGAGUUAACAUUAAAAUUUCCUUGGAAGAUAUCCGACAAACUUCAAAAAUGAAACUUAAGAUGCUGUGGAAAACCUCCAAGCUAGCAAAUCUACAUUGAAACGUGCAUGUAGAGAGUAUGGUAUCGACAGGUGGCCACCUUGCAAUAUAAACAAGGCUGGUCACUAUCAGCUCAAUGAAUUGGCUCGUGUGUUGAUCUAGAACAAAGCUCACAAUUGAAUUUUGAUCAUCUUCCUUCUGCUUAACCCUCGGCUACUAUUGUUCACGCCAAACCACAUGAUACAACGGUGCAAGAUGCGAAUAUUGUGACUAUAAAAGCAAAAUAUGGAGAAGUUAUUGCAAUUAAGUUUCGUUUGUCUUUGCUGCCGAGACUUGUAGAGUUGUAGCAAGAAGUGGCAAAAAGGCUAAACCUAGGCGCUGGAACCUAUUGUGUCAAUUAUAAAGACGAGAACGCAAUUUGAUUUUAAUAGCUUGCGAUGAGGACUUACAAGGUUAUAUGUGUAUUGCUUGGCAGCACUUCUAUUGUGCUAUUGCUUGAGCCACAGUUGUCAAUUACCCACUGAACAACUUAAACUAUGCCUUAGCUUUGACUAAUGAAAUUUUACAAUUUGUGUAGUUAUUGUGGUA